GUCGGACUAAUACCGCAUAAAACAGGGACACCGCAUGGUGAUAUUUGUUAAAGAAAUUCGCUGAUAGAUGGGCAUGCGUUCCAUUAGGUAGUUGGUGAGGUAACGGCUCACCAAGCCGACGAUGGAUAGGGGAACUGAGAGGUUGGUCCCCCACACUGGUACUGAGACACGGACCAGACUCCUACGGGAGGCAGCAGUGAGGAAUAUUGGUCAAUGGGCGAGAGCCUGAACCAGCCAAGUCGCGUGAAGGAAGAAGGAUCUAUGGUUCGUAAACUUCUUUUGCAGGGGAAUAAAGUGCAGGACGUGUCCUGUUUUGUAUGUACCCUGAGAAUAAGGAUCGGCUAACUCCGUG
rnacentral:rRNA from 1 species